UGUCAAGGGAUGGGAAUCGAUCACAUUGUGUUCCGCAUACCGGGCAGAUGCCUUGUCCACUAGGCUACCCUGGAC